AUCGGAUGAGGAUGCAGCCAACCCUCUGCCAGCAUAAGGGAGCCCCAGACGGCCCCGAGCUCUGCUAGCUGGGCUUGUGGGGACCCCUGGCUGGAACCGAACCAGGCUCAUCAGCGCUCAGGAGCCCGGGAGCCACCUCCCCGGGAAGAUUCACACGCACACGCACACGCACACGCGUGCACACAGAGGAGGCCUGCCAUCAGGGUGGGUGGGGCUGGACUAACACCAGCCCAGGGAAGAGAAGCCCGAGAUGGUGGGGCGCGGUGGGCAGUGAGGCGGGGUCUCGGCUGGAGGGGCUCGCUCUGACUGUGGAGCACCCAUGUGCCUCCUAAACAGAAACCCCACACAGGCCAAGGAAACAGAGCUACCAGCUGACUCACUCUCCCAGCAAACACCAGCUCCUCCCCGAGCCAGGCCCUGGAAGAGAAGUCGACAUCACGAGCCGCCAUCUGGGGGGUGGCACCAGGCUGCGAAGGAUCCACAGACUGGCAUAUGCAGGAGGAAAUGGGGCGGGCGAGGAGUAAGGACCCCAAAAAGCAGGGGCAGGGAAGGGCCCUCCCAGCGCCCCACUGUAACAGGGGCCUAAUCAAUGCCCCGUGCUCACUGAAUAAAGCACUGCCAGCGAAAGGUGAAAAGAGGCACAAAGAACAUUCUCCUGGACGCCACCCACAGAAAGCCACGUGCAGGCUUGGCCCUCACCUUGGGGACCUUGGACACGGAGCUGGUUAUGUCACAUCUGGCUCUCAGAGCUGGGGCAGCGUCUAGGAGGCCUGAUGUAGAAGGCACUCGGCUAAGCCCUAGUUACCGGCACACGGGCACCAGCGCCCCCUCUCAGCAAACUCCACGUCUUAUGAAAUUAGGACUGGAUUUCCACUUCAUUUUGAAAAUAUGGCCAAGAUCCAUCCACGUGUGGCUGACUCAGAGCUGUGACAUUAAGGGAAAAUAAAGGAAAUGAUUGAGCUGCCUUUUCAGACAACACUGGAAUUUUUGAAGAACCCGAGAAUCAGUAUAUUGAAAGGUCUGCGCCGUGGAGUCGCUGCUUGUGAAGCCCGUGUGCAUCCGAAGUGCUGACAAGGACGAUGGAAAGACGCUUCAUUCAUGAGCUCCUUUGAAAUGCCAGACAGGCCUCUUGAAAGGGACGGGGAAAAUUCAGCAGAUGAAUAAGAUUGGCAACAUAAACCCAAACGUUUGGGGAAAAAACUGAUUUUAUUAUUUUUAUUUUACUUUAUUUUAUUUUUUGAGACAGGGUAUCGCUCUGUCACCCAGGCUAGAGUGCAGUGGCUUGAUCUUGGCUCAUUGCAGCCCUGGCUUCCCAGGUUCAAGCGAUCCUCAUGCCUCAGCCUCCCAAGUAGCUAGGACUAUAGACACACGCCAUGACGCCUGGUUAAUUUUCGUAUUUUUUAUAAAGACAGGAUUUCCCCAUGUUGGCCAGGCUGGUCUUGAACCCUUGGGCUCAAGCGGUCCGCCCUCCUCAGCCUCCCAAAGUGCUGGGAUUACAGUCAUGAGCCACUGUGCCUGGCAAAAAUGAGACUUUCAAUGUGCUACUUUAAUAAACUAAGUAUUAAUGUUGAAAACCCAA